UGAGUGAUUAACGAGCCUAUAGGGGCUUUCCUACAAUUAUGGCCAUGCAUAAGCUUUAUUCUAUUUCCUUUCUCCAGGUUGCUUGGUGAUGCCCACCGAGAUGUGAGAAAUUCGAAACUAGGCUACAGGAAACAAAAUAUGAAUAAUCUAAAUCUGGGCCUCCAUUCAACAUGGAUUUACCACUGUACAGACGAGUCAAGUUAUGUUGUGAGAAUUCAUUUGACGGCCCGGAUUGCCAAGACGUUCACAAGCAGAGGACAUAAAUGGAAGAGGAAAGCCAACUGCAAAAUCAUUGAGACCUUGAUGGUCGAUGCUGGGUCAGUGAGUACGAUCAGGUCUUCAGGCGGCUCCUGGGAGGCUCUCAGAAAGUCCAUUCAGAACAAUGGGAUGUAGGACCCUCAACUGACAGAAUGAGCAAAAUCAGCCGUCACCUUGACAAAUCUGAAGGACAGUUUGUAAUGAACCUCAAGGAGGCAUGGUAUGCUGUGUCAACCUUAUGAAGACACUGAGCAGAGGUGUGCAUGUACAAUAGGUCCCCAUAAUCUAGCACAGAUAAAAAAGUGGCGGCAACAAGUUUCUUUUUUACAUUAAAAGAAAAGCCCAACUUGUUUCGAAAAUAAAAAACCAGUUUUAGCCUCAGCUUUAGUAGUUCUACUUCAGUCCCAUCAUCUCCUGUAUGAACCAUGUGCUCAGUGGAGCCUCCCGAACAGCAGUUCCACACGUAUGAGUUCUACUAACAGGUAGGAUGAUUAUCUAAGCAGCGCUAGAUAAUCAUCUGUAGGGAAAGAUGGAAAGCUGCCUUUCAAAAAUGAGGGACUGUUAAAAGGUAGCUACUCAGAUCACCACGAUGCUAUGACUGAGGGAGCUGAGGGGUUCCUGGGUUUGAAUUGGGUUGAACAUAUAAGAAAGAAAGACAAUUGGAAUGAUCUAAACGCCAUUUAGACAUUGAUGCAACAGUCUCAGAAAUGACACACUUGCUUACAACCACGUGUAAGACCUUUGGUGCAAAUAGUAAGCUAGUCUUAAGAGUGGAUUUUCUUGUGUGUAGUGUGUGCAGAUGUGGUGUGCGUAGCAUCGACUGCAGCUGUAGCUGCGUUUGACCACCAUCCUCAGAUGCAGCGCUGAGGAGGCGAGCACUGCCAGGAAGGAACCCUGCCAAACAUUCUUGGUGUUGAGUCAGCGACAUUGGGCUCCAGUGUCUGCAGGUGUCCUGAGAGCCUCCUCUUGGCGGUCAUGGCUCAAAGAUCCUGGGCUUCCAUCCAGAACAUGCUUGGUGCAGAUCGAACAGUAACCUGUAGAGGUUUCAGAUCUAUCAUGUCAGCCAUGGCAAGCUGGAAACACCCAAAGGGUUAAAACCGAGGCUGAAAACACCAAAUUAAAGAUUUUCAUACAAUAUCCAUAUUGGUUGUGGCGACUACAGUUCACCAACCCCAGCCUCUGGUCGGGGAUCAAACAAAGGCUUUGUGUCCAAGCAGUCUAAUGGAGGAGAAAAUAAUACAGUGACAUUUACAUGAACCCCACAGGAAUCACCGUCAUCAAAAUCUCUUGUCUGCCAUACCUUCUCUUAUGGUAAGUGAAGUACGACUUCAUUCCUACCCUGAAGGAUUUUGCAUGUGCAGGCCAAAAGUUUUUUUUAUUUGGCCAAAAUCCGCUGGGGAGUUGUCAACCAUUGACCCGUGAUAAAGACAAAUUGGUUCUGUUCUCCAGUGAGUUCCUGUCCAAUCCCUAAAUCCCUUCUUCUGUUUCAUGUAUCAAUGAUGUUUGGCCGAAUGUGCAUACUUUCGAGAAGCCGAACGUGCGUGCUCUUGUCUUCAAUUAAAAAGAGUCAUAUAGUGGUUUGGCCUGAACAGGGGUCAGAAGGUAUCCGAGUCACAAAGCAGCAUAUUCAGUCAAGCCCCGUCAGGGCAGGAAGGCUUUGGCAAGACUUUGGAGAAUUUUUGGCAUGAACCGAUGCCAGAUAACCUAUGCCUCUCCCCAACAAUCUGAGGAAGUCUCUAUUAUUCACAAAAUAUUUAUAUCAUAAUAACCUCAUGUUUCAAAUGCCGCUGUGGACAUUAUAGAGCCAACUUGUAAUGUGUAUCCUCUCUGACAUCAACAGAAGUUACUCUGAACUCCCUGAAUGAACAUAUAGAUCGCUGCAUCGCCUCCCUGGUGAGUAAGAACAGAUUCCUCUAUGACUACCUGAAAGGAUGCCAGCUUUUUUUUGUCCUCUGAUUCAGUGGCUGUAAAUUUAAUUAGCGUUUUUAUAAAAGCUUGUACCUCACUGCCAAGAGCUAUGAAACCGGUGCCUAUACGGUGUGAUGUGUUCUGUGACCACAAUUAAAAAGGCCAUACCUGCCUGAGGGGCAAGACUCGCACCAUUUACAGGUUUAUGAGAUUGUUUAUGGUAUUUUAGAAGUGGGAUUUAUAAGCUGACUCGUGAUUUUCUCUUCUAGUUAAAUAAUUUUUAAUUUUACAGAUGACUAACCAGCAAACGAUUGAAAUUUCACUUUUUUUUUAUUUAAAAUAUGUAGUACAAUCAUAAAGGUCUUUUCAUUUGCAUGACUUCUUAAUGGUGUCCAUGUUCCAUACAUUAUUACAUGGCAUUCUGCAACAGACACUUGUUUCAGUUAAAUGUCCAUUGUAUGUGUGUUUCAUUUUUUGUGGUUAAUUAAACAGUGAAAACCAGGAACACAAAA